UUCUGUCAAAAUUAUUCAAUACUUUCCUUUCUCAAAUGUAUUUCUAAUAGAAGAACCCUAAAUGUUACGUAUCAUUCAUCUUAUCUCCAAUCUAUCACCAUAUUCGAUUGAACACUGGCAAUCAAAAUCGAUGAAGGAAACGUGGGGCUGUGGUGGUGCAGAUCUGGCUGGAAAAACGUUUUCAGAUCUCAAAAUCAUGGUGUCAGUGGUGGUGACAGUUGUUUUAUUUCGAUCAAUCUGUCUAUGAUUAUUCAAGCCUAAAUCAUGGAAGGGAUUAUUUAACCCCAAAUCAUAACCGGAGGAUCUGGAUUAGUUUGUGUGUACUGAUUACGUUAUUGGUGUUUAGAGGCUUCGAUAAGUGAUGAUCAAGAACCCUAAUUCUCUGCCCGUCUUCUACAAUAUUGAAUCGUCUCUGAAAUCUCAAAGGGUGUAUUGGUGUUUGAAGUUCUUGAAUCAUGAUUGUCUUUGAAAUCUCAAUUCUGCAAUGAUUUAACACGACCAUUCGAUUUCAGCCUAAUCGGUAUGGUACAGAUAUAGUGUCAUGGAGCAACAACGUGGAUACUGUUUUAAGUGGACUUGAGAACAGUGAUAAAGAAAUUGGCAUCCCACUCAACUGAUUGCAGGAUUCUGGAGUAGUAGUCAAGGUAUGGUUGUCUUAAGUUAUAGAUUUGAAGAAUAAACAUUAUCUUUUCAAUUGCAUAUAAUGUUGCCGUCUGUACAAGUGGCUAUGAAAUGCAUAAAGAGGGUUGCGUCUGAACUUGAUGCAUUGGAUGGACCCGAUAAAGAACCAAACAGAGUUUUUUCUGCUUCAAGGCUGAUCGAUAUGGUGCAGAAUGGAAAGGGAGGCUAGAACUUUCAACUUGACGCUUAUAAUUGAGAAACAUAAGCUGAUCGAUAUUAUGAACUAUAUCUGAGUCAAUGUGAAUGCCCUCUUGGUUAAGGAAUUAAGUGUUCCCGAGCAUCUUCGCUUCAAAAAAUUGGUUGAUGGAACUGUAGGCUGAUUACUGCUAGAGAAGACCUUGGAAAACACACCAAGAAAUGGUGCAGGCUAGGUUGCGUUGUUUGUGAC
rnacentral:lncRNA from 1 species